CGCAGGUUCGAAUCCUGCACGACCCACCAAUUUCAGCAUUUAACUCAGAUGCUGAACGUGAAGGAUAACGUUGCGACAGCAACGGCCCGAAGGGCGAGGCGAAGUCGAGUCAUCCUGCACGACCCACCA
rnacentral:sRNA from 1 species